AAAAAUUUAGUUAAUAUAUAACAUUAGCUUGUCAAGUUAAAAUAAAUUUUAAAUUAAUUUUUA
rnacentral:tRNA from 1 species